GAAAUGGCAGAACUGGGAUUUGAACUUUCAAACCUGGGCACCUCUCAACUAUACUUUCUGCUACCUGUCAUCAGGGAAGAUGGUACAUAGACAGGAAGGGCUAUACACAAAGCAUGGUGCCGGCAUCUGCUUCUGGUGAGGGCCUCAGGAAGCUUACAAUCAUCUUGGAAGGUGAAGAGGAAGCCAGCGCAUCACAUGGCAAGAGAGGGAGCAAGAGAGAAGGGGACAGUGCCGCACACUUUAAAAAAAAACCUUAUCUCACGAGGCAGAACUAACUGAGUGAGAGUUCACUCAUCACCAAGGGAAUGGUGCUGAGUCAUUCAUGAGGGAUCCCCCUGCCGCCCCCGUGAUCCAAUCACCUCCCACCAGACCCCACCUCCAACACUGGGGAUUACAUUUCAACAUGAGACUUGGGGGGGACAAACAUCCAAACCAUGUCAGUCUUCAACCCCUCUUCCUGACAUACAACUCCUAAAACUCUUAGAAUCUCCAAAGUGCUGUCUUUUUAUGUGUUAGUAAUUGGCUAGUGGCUCACAGCCCCUUGGUAGCUUCAGGAUGGGGCCUGGUCACUGGAAAGACCAAGUCAUAAUUAGAGGGUUGAGACUUUCAGCCCACCCCCAACAUCUGGGGAGAAGAGAAGGGCCGAAGCUCAAAUUGAUCACCAAUGGCCAGUGUUUUAAUUAAUCAUGUGGCCAGGCGUGGUGGCUCACGCCUGUAAUCCUAGCACUUUGGGAGGCUGAGGCAGGUGGAUCACGAGGUCAGGAGAUGGAGACCAUCCUGGCUAACACGGUGAAACUCCAUCUCUACUAAAAAUACAAAAAAUUAGCUGGAUGCGGUGGCAUGCGCCUGUAGUCCCAGCUACUCAGGAGGCUGAAGCAGGAGAAUCACUUGAACCCGGGAGGCAGAGGUUACAGUGAGCCGAGAUUACACCACUGCACUCCAGCCUGGGUGACAGAGCCAGACUCCAUCUCAAAAAAACAACAACAAAAAAAGACAAAUAAAAUAAAUAAAAAUAAUGAAUCAUGCCUAUGUAAUGAAGCCUCCAUAAAAACACAAAAGAAUAGGGUUCAGGGAGCCUCUGGAUAGCUGAAUAUCUGGAGGCUCCUAGAGAGUGGCAUGUCCAGAGGGCAUGGAAGCUCUGUGCCCCUUUUUCACCCUAUACACCUCAUCAUCUGUAUGCUUGGUAAUAUCCUUUAUAAUAUACCAGUUAAACGUAAGUGUUUCUCUGAGUUCCUUGAGCCACUCUAGCAAAUCAAUGGACUUCAAAGAGAGGAUCGUAGGAAUCCCAACUUGAAGUCAGUUGGUCGGAAGUUCUGAGGCCCAGACUUGCGACUGGUAGGAAGUAGGGGCAGCUUUGUGAGACUGAGCCCUCAACCUGUGGUUUCUACUGCUAUCGCCAGGUAGAUAGUGUUGGAACAGAAUUGGAGGGAGCCCAGCUGGUAUCCACUGCAGAACUGCUCGCUUGCUUGCUGUGUGAGGAUAGACCCACACACAUUUGGUCACAGAAGACUUCUGUGGUCACACAGACUUCUGUUCAUCACAGAAGUCUUCUGCGAUGAUUGUUGUGGUGUGAAAGCAGAGGAGAAACACAGUUUGAAUUUUUCUACUUUCACACUGUGUUUACUGAAGGUUGCUCAAUGUAGGCUUGGGAUGGUUGGUCCGGGGUAUGUAAUAGAAGGUGCUUAAAAGUGCUCCUCAACAGUUUUGAAGCGUGUGGGACAAAAAAAAAAGUGCUCCUCAAAGGGUAGGCAGGAUAGUGUAAUGCUUAAAUAUAUGGAAUCUGGAUCCAAACUGGGCUCUGGUAUUUCCUUGUGAUGUGGACAACUUUACUUAUAUGUAAACUCAGUUUCUUCAUCCUAAAAUGGCAUAAUAACAGUAUCUACCUCCUAGGGUUGUUACAAAGUUUAAAUCUGUUAACGUAUAUAAAAAAGACUUUUGCCUGUCUCAUAGUAAGCACUCAACAAAUGUUAGCUAUUUAGAUUCCAAACAUAUAUAACAUUUGAUUAUAAACCAUGGAAACAUCUUAUGUAUGGUAUAGCAGAAAGAACAGGGAUUUUCAAAAUAGCCUAAGUUAUAUAAUCUUGAGCAAGUUGUAUGGCCACUGUGAGCCUUGUCUGAAAAAGGAGGAUGAUUACAUCAUAGGAUAGUUGUGAGAAUUAAAUGAAAUAAUAUAUGUGAAACACUUAGCAAAGAGUGGCACCUAACUGAGGCUCACAGUGUUUCUUCCCCUUUUUCCUAUGUCAGUAGUAUGCUGUCUUAUAAUUAUUUACUAUUAUGUUCUCAACGAGGAGUCUUAAGCUUUUAUAAUCUCCAAACUGG
rnacentral:lncRNA from 1 species